rnacentral:misc_RNA from 1 species
GUGCCGCGCUGUCGCCCAGGUAUCUGGGGUCUCUGGUGUCUGAGUGUCUCAUUGUCGGCGCGAACACAAUUGCUCCAGCCACAGGCGAGGCCUGGCCAAGGUGUGGGCGCAUCUGGGGCAGGUCUUGAGAGGUCCAGCGCCCGGUGGUGCGGACAGAGGCGGGGCACCGCGGCGCUCGCCGCCGCCUCCCCGCAGGUGAUCAUCCUCCUGCAGGUGUCCUCGGGUCUCAGGUGGCUGCGUGUCUGCGCCAUGGUUGACAUUCUGGGCGAGCGGCACCUGGUGACCUGUAAGGGCGCGACGGUGGAGGCCGAGGCGGCGCUGCAGAACAAGGUGGUGGCACUGUACUUCGCGGCGGCCCGGUGCGCGCCGAGCCGCGACUUCACGCCGCUGCUCUGCGACUUCUAUACGGCGCUGGUGGCCGAGGCGCGGCGGCCCGCGCCCUUCGAAGUGGUCUUCGUGUCAGCCGACGGCAGCUCCCAGGAGAUGCUGGACUUCAUGCGCGAGCUGCAUGGCGCCUGGCUGGCGCUGCCCUUCCACGACCCCUACCGGCACAGCCGGAGCCAACUAAUACAUGCGGCCACCUUCUCUCCAUGCCUGCACUUUCUGUUCCAAGCCAUCUGGUGGAAGCAAUCCAAUUGCCUGCAGAAUCAUCCGAAAGCAUCACUGGGAAGAAGCUGGUGGAACUAAGAAGCAAUUCUUUAGCCUGACAGCCAGUCUGUUUUUAGUAUUUCUAAACAUGAAAUCAUCUCAGAAGAAGCCAAGGGCUGUCGAGGUGAUUUGCCUGAGGUCCUACAACUCAUCACUGACUGUGUUUGGAGGAAGGAAGU